AUUGCAAUGGACUGAGCAGGAUUGCAGCAGGGGGGCUGCACUUCCAGGCAGCAAGCACUGAGCACAGGCACCCCAGCAAGGAGGGAGAGAGUGCUGCCUGAGGGAGAUCAGAUCUCCCACAGUGCUGCUCGUGACAAGUUGAAUGAUGUGCUGCUCCACAAAGACUGGGCUGUUCUAUCAGAUGCCAUUCUUCAGCAGUGAUCAUGACUACGAUGGAUGGGCAUGUUUGUUGAUAACCUGCAGGCCGUGAUCAACAUCACCAAUAAAACCUUGCCUCUCAUAAACAUCAAAGCA